UACGUAGGGUGCGAGCGUUGUCCGGAAUUACUGGGCGUAAAGGGCUCGUAGGCGGCCAACUAAGUCCGACGUGAAAUCCCCAGGCUUAACCUGGGAACUGCGUCGGAUACUGGAUGGCUUGAAUUCGGGAGAGGGAUGCAGAAUUCCAGGUGUAGCGGUGAAAUGCGUAGAUAUCUGGAGGAAUACCGGUGGCGAAGGCGGCAUCCUGGACCGACAUUGACGCUGAUGAGCGAAAGCUAGGGGAGCAAACGGG
rnacentral:rRNA from 1 species